UGAAACCAAGACAGACAGAAAGUUCAGACACGGCUGCAAGAACAGAAAAUCCUUCUUACCAGAGUAAACAUGACCCUGGUUCCAGCAUGUUUUUAGCAUUGAUUUCAGGUUUCUCUUAAUUAGUGCAGCUCCUCAGUAUAUCUCACAUCUUUUAUCCCAGAGCGACCCGGCUCGCACUUUGAGGUCCUCUGGCAGGAGCUUCUUAUCUGUUCCAGGCUCUCGGCUGAGGAGUGAAGGAGGGCGCAGAGCUUUUUGAAGUUAGAGCCCCGAGGCUCAAGAAACACCCCACCCGAGGGUCGCUGUUCCCUUCACUCUGCUCUUCACUCCAACAGCGAUGAAAAGAAAACCUUCAACGAGCUUUGUUUCUCCCGGCGAAAGAUAUAUUGCAGAUGGACGGGGACCGAGGGAGAAUAUUGAUUGGAGAAAACAAAAGGUCGGUUACAUCCACUCAAAGACCCGCAGCAUCAUGACGAAGGCAGCUGGGUGUCGACUGGUGACGUCUGUCUUCUUAUGUCUUCAUGAAAGGCGACGAGUCAUCCUGGCUGACUCGCCAAUUCUGACUCAGGAACGAUAACCACAACGCUUUUAUGAAGCUUAAUUUUAUGAAAACAGAUCAGAGAAAAAUCAAAUUGAAUGGUUUAAGCAGCUACAAAGACAUUUUAUCUGGUUAUGAAACAAUCUAAUUUUAUUAUAGAGCUAACCUCUGACCGACACCAGCAAACGAGACCGUCAGCGAGACGAUUGGCUAUUUCUGAAAAGUUAUUCUUAAUGCCAACAGAUUUGAUUCUCUGCUACAAUCAGACAAAACUGUUUAUGCAACCCAGCCACUGGGAUAAAUGUUAGCUGUGACACCCACUUCUGACUUGUAAGACCCCCAGGUCACUUAAAAAAUAAGAAUGAUUGUUCCAGUCAGUCACGAAUCACCAAAACAGCUCAUUCUGUCUGAAUGCUGGAUGGACUGUGAAGCACCUUGAGGAAAAGUAAUGAUUUAUGAUAUUGGGCUGUACAAAAAUGUACCAAAAUCUGACUUGACAGUGUGAUAAAAGAGUGGGCGGUCUCAUUGUGUACCUGGAUGCUCCAACCUUCCUUCAGACCUACUACGGUUCAUUGCUGCUUGUCAAGGCUCAGCAGCUCCUUUCUGGGGGAUUUUAAUAAAGUUUAUAAGAUUGAUUAGA